GUUCACCUUUCAGUGCUGUGAAGCUUCUUACUAAUGAAGAAUGAUGUGUUGUUUUGUGUAUGUAUAGCAACAUACGUGGGCAAACAACUGCUUCUCGUGUUUUCUGACGACUCCACCAUCAGCUUGUCUUGGCCUACCUGGGAGAUGUUGUGUUUCUUUCAGAGUCCUCAAAAGCGUCUUCUGGCUUUCCAAAUGGUGCUGGUUGGGCUCCACUAACCGCCGAACCCCCAAAAGUGUUCUAACCUGCCAAAAUAUGAUAGAUGAGCUUAAUACAGAGGAUGUUGUUAAAGCUCCAGGAGAAAGUUGAAGCAUUGAAGAAAUUUCCUCAGCCACCCAUCACAACCAAGGCCCCACACGGAAAAGACUACUGGAAAAUGUGACAUGGACCCAGGAGGCUGAAGAAGUGUUCAUUAUGUCAAAAGGGGCAUUUACCUUAGAACAAGUUGUGCUGGGUGCACUGGACCUCUUCCUCCUUCAUCUUCCAAGAGUCAAAGCUGUCCUUUCUCAGGAACAUCUAGUGAUCUUUAUUAGCCAGAAGAUGAAGUCUCCUGUAGACUCAGAGUAUUCAGUUGUCAGGAAGGAACGCCUGGCAAUUAACUGAUUAAUCCUGGAGCAAUUACAUACUCAGGCACAGUUUAUACUGGACAUGCACUUCUGCUUUCAAAUGGCACGGAAAAUGACACAAACCCAAGAAUGAGGCCAUAGUCCCUUGUGCUUCAAGACUAUCAUUUUGUCAUCAAAUGUUGGACAGAGCAGACAACAACAUAGUCCUGUCUUGUGCAUUACUGGUGACUGAAGACUCAUGUUGACAGAAACGUUUAAGAAGGGGAAAAUUGGACGACAGCCUGUCAGCUCAGGGGUCAAAGAAGAAAGCGAACAGUUACUACAAAGCUGUGUGUAAGAAGAAGUCUUCACCUAUAAAGCAAUAACUAUGAGCAAAGUGACUUAAUUUGUACCACUCUCUGUUUUGCCUAAGUUUUGUAAUUGAAUCUAAUAAAUGUUUAUUUAUUAAACCGAUAAAGCUGCUAUGCAAAAGCAACUACAAGUAAGCAAUUUGUAGGUCAAUAUGGAAGGAAAUAUGCAUAUUUUGACUGGGCCUUGUAUAGGACUUUAUCAGAGUCUAUGUGUUGUCACUUCUUCAGUAUUGACAAAAUAUUUUGUCCUUU